AAAAAAAUUCCAUGGUCAUAAAAAAAAAAAUAUAGAUGCCACAUAGGAGGGCACGUGUAAACAGCAAGGGCAGCACCUGAAUACACAUUUGAUGACUAAGUGGAUCCAUUAUUUCAUUCACAAAAAUUGGAAUUUGAGAGAGAAGCAAUUUGUUUCACAAAGUGAGCUAGAGAGAAGGACUCUCGGCCAUGGUUGCUCUUAGUUGAGCUCAAAACUUUGAUAACAAAUAAAAUGGUUUCUAAGGUGCUACAUACAUUCAAAGGGGGUGGCAGCAUGAAUUUAAUUCUUGGAGCAACAAGAAUACUUGCAAUCUUAAUCUACAAAAUGCAAUAACGUUAGGUGUUCUCAAUUUGCUAAGGAUAAGUACCAUUGGGCAGCAAGUACAAGUUAUAAUACGACUAAACGCUAAAGGUACAGACGCACAGUUUGGUGAUCCACCAGUUUAGGACACCCUCUUCUGCUGUUUGGAGUGCUCCUCUUAUUCCGAAGCCUACAUUUUGGUAUAUAUACUUGUUUGAUGCAUAUGUAUAUAUUUGUUCAGGGGUACGGCGGGGCCCUGUUCCGCCAUAUGAUCCGUUUGGUCUGUUUAGAGGUCUGUAGACGUAUUUGUGGGUGUGUGUGCCUACUUCUGUUCAGAUGUGUUUGUAUGAUUCUAUUCACUAUGGCAGCCUUGUCGGCGUGCAUUCGUAUAUGUUUUGGGGCCAUUGUGCCAUUUGAUAGCCUUGUCGGCUUUUGGUAUAUAUAUGCAUAUGUAUAUGGUUGUGUUGAAAUGCGUU